rnacentral:rRNA from 1 species
UACGGGGGGGGCAAGCGUUGUUCGGAAUUACUGGGCGGAAAGGGUUCGUAGGUGGCCAACUAAGUCAGACGUGAAAUCCCUCAGCUUAACUGGGGAACUGCGUCUGAUACUGGUUGGCUUGAGUGCAGGAGAGGAACGCGGAAUUCCAGGUGUAGCGGUGAAAUGCGUAGAUAUCUGGAGGAACACCGGUGGCGAAGGCGGCGUUCUGGACUGCAACUGACACUGAGGAACGAAAGCCAGGGGAGCAAACGGG